rnacentral:lncRNA from 1 species
UUUUUUUCAGCCUCCUGAGGUUGAAGAGGUGCUUCUUCACCACACUGUCCAUGUGCGUGGACCAUUUCAGUUUGUCCGUGACAUGUACACCGAGGAACUUAAAACUUUCCACCUUCUCUACUACUGUCCCGUCAAUGUGGAUAGGGGGGUGCUCCCUUUGCUGUUUCCUGAAGUCCAUGAUCAUCUCUUUUGUUUUGUUGACAUUGAGUGAGAGGUUACUUUCCUGACACCACACUCCGAGGGCCCUCACCUCCUCCCUGUAGGCUGUCUCGUCGUUGUUGGUAAUCAACUGUAGUGUCGUCUGAAAACUUGAUGAUUGAGUUGGAGUGUGGUGCAAACUUGAUGAUUGCAUGGCCACACAGUCGUGGGUGAACAGGAGAGGGCUGAGAACGCACCCUUUUGGAGAUGUUGUUUCCUACCUUCACCACCUGGGGGGCGGCCCGUCAGGAAGUCCAGGACCCAGUCGUACAGGGCUGGGUCGAGACCCAGGGUCUCAAGCUUAAUGAUGAGUUUGGAGGGUACUAUGGCAGAGGAAUAGAUGGUUGAUAGGUCUUAGUCCUGACAGAGGAAAAGAAGAUGGAUGUUAGUUCUUAGUCCAGACAGAGGAAAAGAAGAUGGAUGUUAGGUCUUCGUCCAGACAGAGGAAGAGAAGAUGGAUGUUAGGUCUUCAUCCAGACAGAGGAAGAGAAGAUGGAUGUUAGGUCUUCUUCCAGACAGAGGAAGAGAAGAUGGAUGUUAGGUCUUCAUCCAGACAGAGGAAGAGAAGAAGGAUGUUGAACAUGGACAGAGUAGUAGGCAAGGCCCAGUUCUGUAACAUUGUAGUAACAGAGGAACAUGGGUAGGAAGGCCCCAAUCACUCUCUCUCUCAUUCUCACACACUCAUAGAAGGUUCAGUCUCACCCACACGUGGAACACAAAGAAGAAUGAAGAUUGAGAGAGAAUUGACAUUGAUUAAAGAAAAUAAUAAUAAGAAGAAGAAAUGAAUUGGGAAUUUAUGAAUAUAAUAAUGAAAGGUUAAAUAUGUUAAAUGUUGAAAGCCUGGGGAAACAUAUAGUGGGAGAUAUUAAAAGGUGAUUCAAGUAAUGCAGUAAAAUGGUUCAGAAUGUUUUAAUGUUGGUUGCUUUAAGGUACGAUGCUUGUAGACUGUGUUGGUAGGUUUAAAGGACAAGGCCUUAUGGUCUGUAGGAGGUUGGUAAUGACAUGUUAUAAUGAUGAAAUGGUAUAAUGUUGAAGGGUUUUAAAAAUGUUGAAUGUUUAGGAAGUAAUGGGAAGAAUAGGUUCGAGUGGGAUUAUAAUUGAGAAGGGAAUGUUAAUGUUUAAAAAUGAAUGUUUAGAAAUAAAUGUUUUAAAAGUUAAUGAUAAUGGAGUGUACUGAGGGUGCUAUCUUGCUUUGGGAAUCCCCCCGGUCAGAGCAGCCAGGAGGAGGCAUCCUGUCUAGACGUCCUGCCUAUGUGAGGAAAGAUGGGGGUUAGUGGGUGCUGAAAGAGCACCUUUUGAGUGAUGGCCACAUUAGGUGCUAACCACUGAAUGCAUCAUUGGAGCAGGUGUUAGCCACAAUGAGUUAACAGAAAGGAAGAUGGAGGGUAUAAAGGAGGCAUCAUUCUGGAGAAGGGUACGACUCUCUAUUAGCUUCAACAACCUGUGGACUGAUGGAAGAAGAUUUCUGCUGUAGCUUUUUAGCUUGAAAUGUAUUUUUAUAUAUAUUAAACUCAUAUUUAGAUUUAUAUUAUACUCAUAUUUAGAUUUGUAUUAUACUCAUAUUUAGAUUUAUAUUAUACUCAUAUUUAGAUUUAUAGCUUGAAAUACAUUCCGUUUUUUAUUAUUCUCAUAUUUAGAUUUGUAUUAUUCUCAGUUAAAGUAAAAUUCUAGGAGGGAUCCUUAAGGUUUCCUCAAUGAUAGAAGUGUGUUAAAGUAGCUGGUAGAGUUUUUAGACGCCAACUGAGGGACUGAUCAUCCUGAGGGGGGAGAUAAAAAACAGUAUAUAAAGUUGUAGAAGGUAAGAACCUGUUUUUCUAUAUAUUAAUUACUGUGCUUCUCAUAAAGUUGUAAAAAUACAAAACAUAUUGUAUUGGCAAUAAGGGUAUAGUUAAGGGCGUUGAAGGUGUCUAUCAAUUUAAUUUACUGUUGAUGUUGCUUAUCAUUGAUUGGCGAUGUUAAUUUGUGAUUGACUGAUUGAUCUGGAAUAUUUUAUCCAUGUUUCUGGAAUGUUGAAUAAAGUUGCUUUAUUGUUCUGAAA